rnacentral:rRNA from 1 species
CUGCUGCCUUCCGUAGGAGUUUGGACCGUGUCUCAGUUCCAAUGUGGGGGACCUUCCUCUCAGAACCCCUAUCCAUCGAUGCCUUGGUGGGCCGUUACCCCGCCAACAAGCUAAUGGAACGCAUCUCCAUCGAUGACCGAAAUUCUUUAAUAGUUCUACCAUGCGGAAGAACUAUGCCAUCGGGUAUUAAUCUUUCUUUCGAAAGGCUAUCCCCGAGUCAUCGGCAGGUUGGAUACGUGUUACUCACCCGUGCGCCGGUCG